UACGUAGGGGCCUAGCGUUGUCCGGAAUCAUUGGGCGUAAAGAGCUCGUAGGCGGUUCGGCAAGUCACGUGUGAAAUCUCCACGCUUAACGUGGAGGCGCCACGUGAAACUGCCGUGACUCGAGUCCGGUAGGGGAGUGUGGAAUUCCCGGUGUAGCGGGUGAAAUGCGCAGAUAUCGGGAGGAACACCAGUAGCGAAGGCGGACA
rnacentral:rRNA from 1 species